rnacentral:hammerhead_ribozyme from 1 species
GCACCGAUGAUGAGACCCAAUUAGGUCGAAACAGCUGUCCGGUGC